rnacentral:rRNA from 1 species
GACCUCGGAUCAGGUAGGGAUACCCGCUGAACUUAAGCAUAUCAAUAAGCGGAGGAAAAGAAACCAACAGGGAUUGCCCCAGUAACGGCGAGUGAAGCGGCAAAAGCUCAAAUUUGAAAUCUGGCUCCUUAGGGGUCCGAGUUGUAAUUUGUAGAGGAUGCUUCGGGUGCGGCCACGGCCUAAGUUCCUUGGAACAGGACGUCAUAGAGGGUGAGAAUCCCGUCUUGGGUCGUUGGUCCACGCCCGUGUGAAGCUCCUUCGACGAGUCGAGUUGUUUGGGAAAUGCA